CCCUUAGAUGUCCGGGGCCGCACGCGCGCUACACUGAAGGAAUCAGCGUGUCUUUCUCCCUGACCCGAAAGGGUUGGGAAACCCGUUGAAUCUCCUUCGUGAUAGGGAUUGGGGCUUGAAAUUGUUCCCCAUGAACGAGGAAUUCCCAGUAAGCGCGAGUCAUAAGCUCGCGUUGAUUACGUCCCUGCCCUUUGUACACACCGCCCGUCGCUACUACCGAUUGAACGGUUUAGUGAGGGCCUCGGAUUGGUCUCGGCCCGCUCUUUACCGGGCGGCGCCGUUGGUCGAGAAGACGCUCGAACUUGAUCGUUUAGAGGAAGUAAAAGUCGUAACA
rnacentral:rRNA from 1 species